AACAAAUAGCAGCAACUUAUAUUCAGGACCGCAACACUGCUGUAUUCCAGAUGGAAAGACUGAAAUAUUCUUACAAGAAAGGUUAACAAGUCUUCUUUCAACAAAAAAAGUUGAUUACAUUUUAUGUUGGGUGUGAAGUAAAACAAUUAAGAUUUGGUUCUGUACCAAGAUCAAUUCAGUAGAAACAAUCCAAAAACUGUCAUUACUGAGCAACAAAUCCUUCUUUAUCCCUUCUGUGCCCUGAGUUUGACAUGACAUAAUCUUGUCAGCCAAAACAUACUACUCUGAGAGCAGAUUGUAUGACCGAUUAAACAGCAGAGCUUGAUUCAUGUAUAGUUGGUUCUUUUCCAGGAAACAGUAUAUUUGCUCUUCCUAAAAGUCGGCAUAUAAGGUCAAACAUGUCUGUAUCAUUGCUGAAAAAGCACAUUUCUGAAGUUUAGUUGUAGAGCAAUGCCCUUCCACCAAUUUCUCUCUUUUCAGAAUGAGAAAACGACAGUGUGAAAAAGAGUGGUGUGGCUCGUGUUAAUGUUAGCAGGUCUCCAUACAUCAUCACAUUAUAUUAUGGCCUCUAUUUGGGGCACAGCAUCAUGCUACAGUUAGCGUAAACCUAAAAAUAAUGAAGACUAAUAGAGACUAGUUAUAAGUUUGCACAUACAAACACAGGCAAACAAAUGAUAUAUAUUGUUGAAUAAUAUUUAUUCAAUACAAUUAUUGUGUAUGUUUUUAUGUAGCAUCACAGUAAUUUUAUUUUAUCUUUUUUCCAGAUGUGCAAGAUUUUCAGCAUACUGUAUAUUUGACUGACCAGCAGUUGAUGAUUUUGAUUUAUUUUGAUCAUUAGGAUAUUUAACCCAGCAUAAUGCUCUCUCUCUCUCUCUCUCUCUCUCUCUCUCUUUCUCUCUGAGGCCGGUCCCUUCUUUCUCCUCCACCAACCUGACAGACAAACUGAUCACACAGGAAAGAUGCCAUAAAUUACAGGAGCACUUUACCACUCCACAUAAAAUCACCCCACCCCACCCCCACCCUCAGUCCAUAUGGAUGUCAUCCUUUAUGGCAUUCUCAGUGGGAAAUUAUGACGGAAUAAAACACAUCUUCAUUUAUCUUUUAUUUGGCUCUGCGAUGAGAGAUUCAGACACUCUGAGUUCCACAGAGCAUCAUCGUAUUAGCCCUCAGACGUGCAGAGAAAUGGAUUGUUUUUGAAAAUGAACCUGGCUUCGCUAUAAAUUACACUUCUGCAUUCUGAGCUGUGUGUUAUUUUGCUUAAAACAGAGGCUGAUUAAAUUAAUGCUCUAAUUUAUGUGGAGUUACAAGUGCACCUAUUACAGUAACAGGGUUUGGAAUUUAAUCUGUCUGCAUGAUAAAGAAUGAAUCUCUCUACUUUUCAUUUGUAAUCCCAGACACGUUAUUUCUGUAAAAUGGCCUCCCACUAUUAAAUAUGAAAA
rnacentral:lncRNA from 1 species